UACACUUUACCGCGAAUUCCGAUUUAAAAGUCGAACAGAAACAUAAGACAAAAAUAUGACCACAACUACACCAAAAUUUCAGAAAACAAAGCUGAACUCUGCUCUCCACAGACAAAUUAAGAAAACAAAAGUAAAACAGAAGAAAGUGUUAACAUUGGUAUGGUUACAGUAUUUGUUGGCAAUGCAGAAAUUAGCCAUUGAAGCUCAGAAUAAAGCAAAGGAAGAAAAAAAGAAUAUUAUACAUAGUGAUCAUAUACGAGCAGUAUCAAAGAAAGUUCUACAGUCCUGUAAAGGUUAGGAGGUUAAUUUGAUAUUCAAGACAACACUUCAUUUAGAAAUUUGAACUGAAAGCAUGACAAGUGGACAUUGGAGUUAUAACGCAUGGGCCUUGCAUAUCACAUGUUUAAGACGUUUGCCAAUCAAGGUUUAAGAAAAGUACUUCUUUAUCAGUAUCUGUAGAUGAUAAAUGUACAUGCUGACAAAUGAGUAAAUAGCAAAUUUUAUAAUGUACCCAUCUAUCUUACGUACAAGCAGACUUUAAAAUAUUGGACUUCUUACAAUGAAGUGGAUUAAAAUGUAAUUAAUUAGUAAUAACGUCUAUAAUUUCAGAAACAUGCAUGCAUUUAUUGUAACUAAGAAUGUAUUUUUGUUAUGUUUUUAAUAUUAAUUGCUAUUGAAGAGAUAUUUUAUGAAUAUGUAAUAAUUUUUUUUUUAAAUAUAUGUGAUUAUUCUUGUAAUAUAGUUUAUUUAAAGCAAAACUAGAAGAGGUAUGACAAGCGCCAUUAUUUGGCCCUUGGAAUUGCAAAAAUAGUAAACUUAUUCAAGCCUUUCAAAAUUAUGUUAGUUCUACCAAUCUUAUCACAUGAUUUGUUAUUGAAUGUCUUAUAAACCUACCAAUGUAAAUAAACAUGGAAACUCCCGUGGUUAUUUGUGUAUCGCCACAUGAAUGAUGACACCUGUUCCCGUUCAAUUAAUGAAGGGGGAAGCUGAAAAUAAUUUAAAAAUCGGUCCAUAUUUAACAGAAUGACAUAAGAAAAUUAACUGCUUUCGGAAAGAAGUUAAGAUAACUUUUCGUUUUAUUUGAUAUGUUUUAAUCAUUGGAACUUGGAAAUCGGGAAAUCUCCGGUAAUAAAAAUUACAUGUACCUGAAGUAGGGUGUUUGCAGAAAAUAAUGUGAUGCACGUGUAGUGUGGAGGAUGGCGAAGGAUGACUCAAAUUUCAAGUUAAAGGUUGUGAAUUUUUAUUGAGUGUUACAAAAAUAUUUAUAGUUUUCUCUAUCGUCUCAUGAAUGUCGAAAAAUGUAAUCAAACGUAUUUAUCGAAUAUGUUUUAAAAACUAAUAGAGUUUAAUAAUUACACGCACGUAUUGACCUCUACAUAGCAUGUAUCAGGUUAUGAUAUAAUUCAAAAAUUAAAAACAACGUUCAACCUAGUCCGAGAUUGCUCUGACGUCUGACUGAUUUUAUUUUUUUUAGGAAUAGCUCAACUUCAAAUAUGUCUUGAUGCAUUUAAAGAACGAUCAUUAUGAUGGGUCCUAAGCAGUAAAAUAUUGUUUUGUUCUUAAGAUUUUAUCAUGGAAACCAAAUUAGAAUUAUUUGUGUGUGAAAAUGCUUAAAAGUUCUAAAACAUCUUACAACGUACAUGACGUAUGUUAAGCAAUUCAUGUUUUUGUUUUUUGUUGAAAUGCAUGAAAUAUUUGCCAUUGGACAUUCAGUAAACAAUUAAUCAAAAUAUUUGUCAAAGCAGUAAACAUCAAUUAUAGAUGCAAAUUGCAACUUUUUUAUCCUUACACAAGAAAUUUAUUGUUAUUCAAGCCAAUAUAAAAAAGAGAGAUAUGGUACGAUUGCCCAUGCUCUAUUUCAUUUUACCAAAAUAUGAGUUUUUUUCCGAUCUAAAAGCCCUUAAACACACCCCAAACCCAGAAUCAAAUAUUAACGUUUUUGUUGAAAAUUCAUGAAAUAUUUUGGCAUUUGACAUUCAGUAAACACUUAAUUAAAUUAUCUGUCAAAGUUAGCAGUAAUCUUCACUGAUAAUAAUUGCAGAGGACAACUUUUCCGUUUACUUUUUACAAGAAAUUGAUGAAUUUCAAGCCUAGCAUGUAUAUAUGCAUGUUCAGGCAGUGGACCUCUCAUGAAUAAAAAUCUUACAAUUAAAAUUGAUUGUAACUAAAACUGAAAUGUUCAUGACUUGCGAGUAUUUUAACCCUUCAGAUUUUUUGAGAAAACAGUCGCAGGGUUUUCUUUUCUUUCUCUUUAUUUGUUUUAACGCAUCAAAACCCGUAGAAAUUGACAUAAUUCCUUGACAAUUAAGUACACACUUGGUUAUUCGGUAUAUUCCGUAAUUACGAUUAAAGACGAAGUUCCAAAAAAUUUAUUGAACCCAUGCAUCGCGAUAUGACAUGUCGAGUCAAUUAAUAGAUACUUAACUAAUUUGCGGCAUCGCACUAUAAACGUUUGAUGUCCGUUUGUUGGAGUUCCUGUCAAUAUAAUACUUCCAUGGUUCUACUGAUAAAUGGAUAGAGCAAUCUAAUCUGGACACCUUAGUGCAAUGAAGUCAGUUGUGAUGUUAUUAUGUGUAAUAAACAUGUUGAAAUUUA